UCAAUACUCGCCUUCCUGUUCUAAACAAUCCGGGUUAAAGAUAAGCAGAUAUGCUGAAAAAAAUUUGAUGUGAACGGUUGAAUUGACGAGGUCAAUCGUUCAGAGGAACAUAUGCUAUCCGUUUUUUUUCGUAGCUUGCUCAAGCCAAUCAGGAAGGCGAAGAAGGAGGAUCUGAUUCGACGAAAAGAUGUCUACAAACCACAAAAUAAUACAUAGUGCUGCAUGCAUGGAUAGUUAUGCUGAAUUCGGUCGCCGAACUUCGAACUAUUACAGAAGGAAUUGUGACCACUUGUGACGAAGCUGGGAGUAUGAGUGUUAUAUGUCGCCAUCCACGUCGUGUUAUGGGAAUGGAUCGAGGACGUGGAAAAAAGUAGAUAAUUGUUCAUCCGAAAAUGAAGUAAAAAUGGAUUGGUUGGUUGCUAGAACUCGAAACUACCGCAGCAAAUCUUCAUCCCAACUGAAAGCUCAAUCGGGUUGUAUACAUGGUCAGCUGU